GACGAACGCUGGCGGCGUGCUUAACACAUGCAAGUCGAACGAAGAGCGAUGGAAGCUUGCUUCUAUCAAUCUUAGUGGCGAACGGGUGAGUAACGCGUAAUCAACCUGCCCUUCAGAGGGGGACAACAGUUGGAAACGACUGCUAAUACCGCAUACGCUCUAAUCUCGGCAUCGAGGAUAGAUGAAAGGUGGCCUCUACAUGUAAGCUAUCACUGAAGGAGGGGAUUGCGUCUGAUUAGCUAGUUGGAGGGGUAACGGCCCACCAAGGCGAUGAUCAGUAGCCGGUCUGAGAGGAUGAACGGCCACAUUGAGACUGAGACACGGCCCAGACUCCUACAGGAGGCGGCAGUGGGGAAUCUUCCGCAAUGGACGAAAGUCUGACGGAGCAACGCCGCGUGAGGGAUGACGGCCUUCGGGUUGGAAAGCUCGGUUAAUCGGGACGAAAGGCCUUCUUGCGAAUAGUGAGAAGGAUUGACGGUACCGGAAUAGAAAGCCACGGCUAACUACGUG
rnacentral:rRNA from 1 species